UGUCUGGAAGAAGUCUUCGAGCUGAUCUUGGGUAGUCUUUAGUGGCGAAUGGAUGAGUAACGCGUCGAUAACCUGCCUCUACCGGGGAUAACGGAGAAAAAUUUCCGCUAACACCGCAUAAGACCACAGCCCCGCAUGGUGCAGGGGUAAAAUAUUUAUAGGUAUAAGAUGGAUCCGCGUCCGAUUAGCUAGUUGGUGAGGUAAAGGCCCACCAAGGCGACGAUCGGUAGCCGGCCUGAGAGGGUGAACGGCCACAUUGGGACUGAGACACGGCCCAAACUCCUACGGGAGGCAGCAGUGGGGAAUAUUGGACAAUGGGGGGAAACCCUGAUCCAGCGACGCCGCGUGAGUGAAGAAGUAUUUCGGUAUGUAAAGCUCUAUCAGCAGGGAAGAAAAUGACGGUACCUGACUAAGAAGCCCCGGCUAACUACGUGCCAGCAGCCGCGGUAAUACGUAGGGGGCAAGCGUUAUCCGGAUUUACUGGGUGUAAAGGGAGCGCAGACGGCAAUGCAAGUCUGAAGUGAAAGGCGUGGGCUCAACCCAUGAACUGCUUUGGAAACUGUAUAGCUUGAGUGUCGGAGGGGUAAGCGGAAUUCCUAGUGUAGCGGUGAAAUGCGUAGAUAUUAGGAGGAACACCGGAGGCGAAGGCGGCUUACUGGACGACAACUGACGUUGAGGCUCGAAGGCGUGGGGAGCAAACAGG
rnacentral:rRNA from 1 species